rnacentral:lncRNA from 1 species
UACAUGCAUCUUUUUCAUGUAAUAUUUUUAAAAUUUCAAGAUGAUAGAAGUAAAUGAGCAUAAAUGUAUUGCAUCACUUUCCCUUUCAGGACACUGAAAUAGAUCCCACUUAGCGUCAAGUCCAAAUUGCUGUUUUACUUUUAGGGACCUGUAUAUCACCUGCAUUUUCAUUCUAAUAGUCAUUGGACGUUGAAUUCAUUUCUCUUAGUUUCAUGAAAUCUUCUCUUUUUAUUCAUCCAGCCAUACUGACCUCCUUUCUCAAU